rnacentral:rRNA from 1 species
UACAGAGGUCCCAAGCGUUGUUCGGAUUCACUGGGCGUAAAGGGUGCGUAGGUGGUCGGGUAAGUCUGAUGUGAAAUCUCCGGGCCUAACCCGGAAACUGCAUCGGAUACUAUUCGGCUAGAGGGUUGGAGGGGGGACUGGAAUACUUGGUGUAGCAGUGAAAUGUGUAGAUAUCAAGUGGAACACCAGUGGCGAAGGCGAGUCCCUGGACAACUCCUGACACUGAGGCACGAAAGCUAGGGGAGCAAACGGG